rnacentral:rRNA from 1 species
UACGGUAGGGUGCGAGCGUUGUCCGGAAUUAUUGGGCGUAAAGGGCUCGUAGGCGGUUUGUCGCGUCGGGAGUGAAAUCCACUGGCUUAACUGGUGGCUUGCUUUCGAUACGGGCAGACUGGAGGUAUGCAGGGGAGAACGGAAUUCCUGGUGUAGCGGUGAAAUGCGCAGAUAUCAGGAGGAACACCGGUGGCGAAGGCGGGUCUCUGGGCCGAUAUUGACGCUGAGGAGCGAAAGCGUGGGGAGCGAACAGG